rnacentral:rRNA from 1 species
GUCUAUGGCCAUGCCACCCUGAACAAACCCGAUCCUGUCUGAUCUCGGAAGCUAAGCAGGGUCAGGCCUGAUUAGUACUUAGAUGGGAGACCACCUAGGAAGACCAGGUGCUGUAGGCA